UACGAAGGGUGCAAACGUUGCUCGGAAUCAUUGGGCGUAAAGCGCACGUAGGCGGCCUCAUAAGUCGGAUGUGAAAUCCCUCGGCUCAACCGAGGAAGUGCAUCCGAAACUGCGAGGCUCGAGUAUGGAAGAGGGUCGCAGAAUUCCCGGUGUAGAGGUGAAAUUCGUAGAUAUCGGGAGGAAUACCAGUGGCGAAGGCGGCGAUCUGGUCUGCAACUGACGCUGAAGCACGAAAGCACGGGGAGCAAACAGG
rnacentral:rRNA from 1 species